rnacentral:rRNA from 1 species
ACGGGGUCCUCUUUCAUGCCGGACCCAGAGGAAGCGUGGUGAAAGAUUGCCCUAAAGUUUGCGAAAAUCCAACCGCUUCUGAAAAAACGAGAGCUUAUGGGGGUCGGCGAAUAACUCAUCCACGUAGUUUCGGAUUGAUAUUAAUUGAGGAAACAGCGCCGACGCCAUCAAUACACGGAAGUAAUGGGGGCUCUUGGGGGAAACCUCGCGCCCCAUCUCUUGUCUCUUUUUUUGGAAGUAAAAGUCGUAACAAGGUUUCCGUAGGUGAACCUGCGGAAGGAUCAUUACUGAGAGGGGGACCUCGUGUCCCCCGGGGGGCUUCGGCCCUCCACCUCUUCAACCCGUGCUUAUCAACCUCUGUUGCUUUGGCGAGCGCCGGGGCGCCCCCCGUCUCGGCCCCGACCCCAAAGUCGGUGCGUUCUCGCCAGAGCCCCCUAAGCAUUCUGUUUAUUUAGUGACGUCCGAGUAUUACCAAAAUUUAAAUCAAAACUUUCAACAACGGAUCUCUUGGUUCUGGCAUCGAUGAAGAACGCAGCGAAAUGCGAUAAGUAAUGUGAAUUGCAGAAUUCAGUGAAUCAUCGAAUCUUUGAACGCACAUUGCGCCCCUUGGUAUUCCGAGGGGCAUGCCUGUUCGAGCGUCAUUGCAACCCUCAAGCUUUGCUUGGUAUUGAGCUUUUCGUCGGAGGCGGCGUGCUCGAAAAUUAGUGGCGGUCCAGGGAGACUUCAAGCGCAGUAAAACUUUUUCGCUUUCGAGGUCCUCGCCUGUGAGAGAGCCGUAAACCCCCCAACUUUUCAAUGAUGACCUCGGAUCCAGGUAGGGAUCCCCCGUA